GGAGGUGGAACGGGCCCCAUGGGGUCCCGGGGCGGGCGGGGUCCAGGGGUCGCUGAGGUCCGACUGGCGACGUUCGAAUCCCGGUGGCUCCCGCGGAGUGUGGGUACGGGGCGCUGGGCUCAGGGUUUCAGACGAGACUCUGGACCACCAGGGGGGAUCUUACGGCCCCUCUGCGGAUGAGAAAACUGACACGUUGCGUGGAGAACCCGGGAUCCCAGCAGUCAGGGGACUGACUACAGCACAAACGCGCCUGGAUCUGAUCCGUUCCUUCCGAAAACUCGUCCAGACCCAAGUUGUCCCACCGCCCCCGCGAGCAAGGCUGUCUCAUCAAGACAGGUCUUUCAAAAAUAACUGUGGGAACAGUAAAGUAUUCGCUGCCUUUUCUUAUUUAAAAAAACCCCAUCCUUCCUCUUCCCUGGUCCUGGGCUCUGGCAUAUCGGCCUUCAAUCUCUGCAGGCAGGGUCACACCCGGGGGUAAUGUCAGUAGAAUCUGUAGUAAUCACCGCUCUCUCAUUCCUGAUCUAAGUAAUCUGGGUUUCCCUUCUUUUCUUAAGCCAUCUAAUAGAUUUUAUGGAUUUUAUUAAUUUUUUCCAAAAAUCCAACUUUUGGCUUCUCUGCUCUUUUUUUCAUUGAUUUCUUCUCAUGUCUCUUAUUUCCUUCUAUUUACUUUUGGUUUAAUUUGCUCUUUUUCAAAUUCGUUAAGUUGGCACAUUGGAUCGCUGCUGUUAAACUUUUUUCUUUUCUAAUAUAAAUGUUUACAACUAUAAAUCUAGAUUGUCAAUCUCCCUUGGCCUGCAGAAGUUACAGCGCCAGGGACUGAAUCUGCACCACAGCUCUGACAACGCCAGAUCUUUACCCUGCUGCACCACCCAGGAACUCCAUCCACAAGUUUUGAUAUAUGUGUUUUCAUUAUCAUUUCACUCAAAAUAUUUUUUUUUUUUUUUUUUUUUUUUUUUUUGCCUUUUCUAGGGCUGCUCCCGAGGCAUGUGGAGAUUCCCACCCAGGCUAGGGGUCGAAUCGGAGCCGUAGCCUCUGCCUCCGCCAGAGCCACAGCAACGCGGGAUCCGAGACGCGUCUGCAACCUACACCACAGCUCACGGCAAGGCUGGAUCCUUAACCCACUGAGCAAAGCCAGGGAUCGAACCCUCAACCUCAUGGUUCCUAGUCGGGUUUGUUAACCACUGUGCCACGACGGGAACUCCCACUCAAAAUAUUUUCUAAUUUCCUUUGUUAUUUAUUUGUAAUUACUUAUAAGGAGAUGGCUUCAUUUCCAAAUAUUUAACACUUUCCUGGGUAUCUUACUGUUACUGAUUUCUAACACAAUUCUAUUUGAGCCAGCUCUACGACCUAAGAUGUUUGUCUUUUGAAAUAGGUUGAGACUGACAGGAUGUUAAUAUCUCCGAUAUGAUAACAGCUUGUCUCCUUCUCACUUUGUAUUUGUGCCCCCUCCCCAAGUAUUAUAAGCUUUGUUAUUAGGCACUAUUAUGCCCUGAAUUGUAUCCUCCCAAAAUAUAUGUUCAAGUCCUAACCCCUGGUAUCUGUAAAUAUGACCCUAUUUGAAAAUAGUUUUGCUGUUGUAAUCAAUUAAGAUGGAAAAUGCCAUCUGGAGACAAACACAGAUGACACCGAAGGCAGAGCUGUAGCUGCAAGCCAAGGGACACCAAAGAUCACUGGAAAAUCAUUAUAAGCUGGGAAAUGUUGGAGACCACGGAACAGCAGAACUCUGCAGAAGGCAAAUAUCUAUGGACUCAGAGUUUUAAGUACAGAGUCUCCUUCAAAGACAAGGAUUCCCCGUUUCCCUGCAGCGCUGGAUGCAGCAAGGAAAAAGCAAGAAAGAUUUUCCUGCAGGUCCCAGAGGAAGCAUGGCCCUCUGACACCUUGAUUUCAGACUUUUAGCCUCUAGAACUGUGAGAGAAUAAAUUUCUGUUUUAAGUCUC